rnacentral:rRNA from 1 species
GAUAAACGCUGGCGGCGUGCUUAACACAUGCAAGUCGAACGGAGUAUUCCUCCCGAGAAUUGAUGAAGCUUGCUUCUGAUUGACUCAUUUGGAAUACUUAGUGGCGGACGGGUGAGUAACGCGUGGGUAACCUGCCUCACACUGGGGGAUAGCAGUUGGAAACGACUGAUAAUACCGCAUAAGCGCACAGUACCGCAUGGUACAGUGUGAAAAACUCCGGUGGUGUGAGAUGGACCCGCGUCUGAUUAGCUAGUUGGUGAGGUAACGGCCCACCAAGGCGACGAUCAGUAGGGGUUCUGAGAGGAAGGUCCCCCACAUUGGAACUGAGACACGGUCCAAACUCC